rnacentral:rRNA from 1 species
GGGCCAGUAGGUUGGUCGUGCCACCGGUACGUACUGGUCUCACUGAUUCCUCCUUCCUGAAGAACCGUAAUGCCAUUAAUUGGGUGUUGCGGGGAAACAGGACUGUUACUUUGAAAAAAUUAGAGUGUUUAAAGCAAGCUAACGCUUGAAUACAUUAGCAUGGAAUAAUGAAAUAGGACGAUCGAUCCUAUUUUGUUGGUUUCUAGGAUUGACGUA